AACAAGGCGUACCUGCGGACCUGCGGAGGGAUCAUUACCGAGUUUACAACUCCCAAACCCCUGUGAACAUACCUAUACGUUGCCUCGGCGGAUCAGCCCGCGCCCUGUAAAAAGGGACGGCCCGCCCGAGGACCCCUAAACUCUGUUUUUAGUGGAACUUCUGAGUAAAACAAACAAAUAAAUCAAAACUUUCAACAACGGAUCU
rnacentral:misc_RNA from 1 species